GUGCUGUGAGAGUAGAGCCAACUGGCCUACGUGGACAGCUUCUAGCAUUACCGCGGCCCGGUCUUCUCCACCUUGGAAAGUUUCGCUGUGACUGCUCUGGAUUUUCGACACCAUCAGGCUUCUGGUUCCAAGGCAGGGACGUGAACGUCGCAGGGUGGGUUGGCACGUCUCUUCCGACGGAGUAGGAGGGCACACGUCUUUCCUCCAAGUCUCUGCUAAAUGCAGUCACUCCCCUGGCUUGGCCACGAGGAUGCACGCUUCGCCAAGAUGGUUUUCCGGAGUGCUCCUAUUGAAGUCUGCUGCUUACCUGUUUGUCUAUGAAAGGGAGUUUGUUACUUAGGUAAUCAGACCCAGGCAUUAUGGAAUCAUUUUCUCACGUUUGUCACUGACGAUCUCCUGUGACUUCUGGCUUGUUAGUUAAUUACUGUAUAAAUUUCCCCACUGAAAAUGGAGGUCUGAUUCAGUGCUGUGUUCUUUUCUGAAGCCAAGUGCCAAAUGUUCAUGUUGUCUAGAAAGAUUGGUUCUUUCUUCCCAAUUCAUUUAUCGCCCUUCUUGCCCUGUGCUGCCUUUGGAAUACUGAAAUUAUGAUAUUAAAAUCACUUCCAUGUCAA